GUUACAGGACUUGCAACACAGCUUAUUGUAACCAGGCAUUGAACAGUAACGAGAGAGAACUUCCAUGCGACAAAACAUGGACUUGUCUCCUUGGCAACGUUCCCCUGAAAGAAAAAAAGAGGAAAGCUGAUGAGCUCAGAGCACCUUUACAAACACGAAUAGAUCAAGCCUCGCAACGCUCCUGGGAAGUUGGAAAAUCCUUGACACAUGGGGAAACUGAGUACAAUGAGGGUAAGUGCACACUUACCAAGUUGCACACUAUGUUAGUGGAAGAGCCAGGAUUAGGAAGCUUAGAACUCCCGACUCCUGGUUCUUUGCUAGAACCAUUGGAUCAGCUUUGUACCUCACACCUCUGUAUGGAAAAAGUAGCACUGGAAGAACUAGCCUGCAAUCCCUUUCACUCAAUACUUGCAUCCUUCCCUCAGAAUGGCUUUUCUUUGUCAAAGAUGUCCAAUGCCCAUUUAAUUGCAAUGCGGCUGGGUGCCUAACUCCCUUAGACACUUCUAAAAAACCCAGCCAUGCCCCUAAAG